rnacentral:lncRNA from 1 species
GGCCUGGGAGACACGGCAGAGAAAAGCUCUCAGCGACGAACAGACAGGACAAGGCACUUACAGGUGGAGCGGGAGGCAAAGAUCAAACAGACAAAACCGGGACGAAAAUUCCUGCGGUACGCUCCUCACCGUGUCUGCAUUGAUGGUGGCGGCGACGCGAGUGAGCGCAAUGGUAUACAGUAUGAGACUCUACUCGCUAAGGACAAGCCUCUGCUGGUAUCAUCAAUGCUUUAACGCGAUUUAAUCGUGCUCGCCUUUGACACUACACUCAUGCUCGCCAGCUUUGCGUUUUUGCAGGGAUAUCGCGUGUAUCAAAGGAGAGCGAGAUGCUACUCUUCCAUUGCCACUGGGGAAGUAUUACACGAGAAGGUACGCUUGCUGCCACUUCGUAGAGUUUUUCCAUGGUCGCUUUCGUAGUGUUGUUUUGCUUGCUUGGUCGGGCUUAAAGUGAGAGAUCCAUUGCUUUGUCUUGAAGUCUCUGGCGCAGAGAGCUUUGCUCACCCCGGCUUUGACUGCAGUGCACACAAAGCUCCAUCCAGAUCUAACGCUUUUCUCAGAGACUUCACUUUUCCUCUCUGCAGCUUUCUUUCGCUCUUUCUGAAUCCGGCCCGUCGGUGCUGAAGCUUCACGUGACUUCCACUUCUCAUUCAUACGAAUGGAUUCUUUCUCGCGAUAACGGAAUGCGGUUGUCUCGGGUGUCUGCAAAGGCAAUGUUUUGAGAGUCCAGCGAAAUAGCAGGGAAAAAGAGAGAGGAGAGUUACUUACGUCUGAAGGUCUUGGUGCUACUGGUUGCAGCCCAGAGGUCGCCCCACCGGACCUUUUUCGCUUCCUUGUGAAGAACCCGGUGCUUGGCGCGUGUCACGGUGAGACGAUCAAAGCUACCGGACGAGCCGUCCGGCGACGUCGAGCGGCAAACAUCCAAGGUGACGUGUUUGCCUCGCCGGAAUGGCUUGAAAAUCACGCGGCCCCAGCCACUGCUCAUGUUUGCCGCCGUCUCCUUGCAUUCGUCGUCGUCACCCUCUUGUUCUUCGAUUUGGUCUUCGUUCUCGUCCUCGCGUGGUUCUUCCUCCAAUUUAGUUUCGAUGUCUGGCGGAAAUUUCUGUUAGAUUGAAAGACCAACCUGAGUUCUCACCACCUUCAUCGUCGUCUCUGGUCUCUCUAUCUUCGUCGUUUUCAUCCUCUAAGUACUCUUCCUCUUCUUCAUCCUCGUCUUCCUCAUAGUCUACAAGUAGGUCGUUUUCUACUGGCUCGUCUUUAUCCAGCUGCAGCUCCACAUGAUCUAGUGGCCAAUCCAC